GUUUUAGUUUUAUAUAUUUGUCUUGUUAGAAUCAGUUCAGCUUCAUGGGUGUGUCUUUGGCAGAAGAACCUAAAUGUGACGUAAUGUAACAUGUUUGGCAUUCAGAUAAAAUUACUUGUUGGAAGUGAUCCAAGAUAAAACAGAAACAUGUUUACUUGCAGACAAACUGCUGAUCUGAUAGAAAACAGAUGCACAUAACUGUAUGCAACAUAUAAAUGAACUCUUUUCACAUAUUGAUGCAUGAAUGCAGUUCUGUUUCUGUCUGUCCACUGGACCUUUUGUCCCUCCAGUGGUGGAGCUGAUUUGAUUACCCUGCUGACUUCCCGUAAAUGAAAGCCUUUCCAGUGAAAUGCUCCUCUGGAGAACAGGGUGAAAGCUGCCUCCUGCUGGCUGUCUGACUGCAUUACAUCAGGCUUUCUUUCUUCUCUAAGCCUCAGCACAUGAUUGGCUCAAUGUAAGCUGGCUUAAUGCAUCAUCAGUUCAUCUUUAGUUAUUAACACUGGACACUUUAUUGCACAGUAUAUGGUGUUUUCUAGACACUUUAAUAAAGGUAUGUAUGUGAUGGUAUGACUGUCACAGAGGUAACAUCUACCUUAACCCUCCAGUUAUCCUCAAAUGUACCAGCAUCUGGUAUCAAGGAUAACAGGUGGGUUAAUUAGCUCAGGCCCCACCCCCCCAGCACGCUAGGUAAUGCACAUCAAACACACCUGCUGCCAUGUUACUUCACAAACAGGUGCAUGCUGGUUGUGGCUAACAUGCUAAAUGCUAACAUGCUGAUGGAUGAUCCUCCACGUGAGGUUCAGACAGGUGAGUUCAACAACACGCUCUCUGUGAUGGAUGGUACUGUUUAGAGGAAGAUUGCUAGGAAACGUAGCGUUGUGUGUGUGCCCGUGUGCACUAAGAACAAACACUCUUUCGGCUGUGUGUCUGCAGCAGCUGUGGAGUUUAUAUUGUUUAUAUAUAUCUAUGUUGUUGUCAUGUGGCUUAAUAAUGUUAAUAAUAAUGUUUGUAGCACCCGCUGUUUGUGUCAUUUUAGUUUAACUGUCUGAGUUUGGUCUCUGUUGUGUUUUCUGCUGCAGAGUGUUUCUGAAAUGAAUAAAUUGAAAUGUAUUAACUGUUGGUUUGGACACUCUGUGGUGUGAUGUUAUGUGUGUGUGUUGACAUGUUAAAGCACUUUAUUUUGUCCCCCAAAUAUUACUGUAAUAUAGUCACGGUUAAAUUUUAAGAAUACAUAAAUGAAAGACCGAGCCAACAGAGUGAACUGUGAGCUGAACUGAACAUGUGUAAAGAAAGAGAAGGUGCUGUGCUGCCACCUGCUGGCUGUCUGACUCAACUGAUAUGAUGCUUUCAUCCUAAGGGAGUUUUACAAUGUUCUCUCAUCCCCACUCUCAGCAGUGAUAGGGAGCUGCCGUUGAAGGUAUAUAUGAAGCUAACAUGAUGCAUUCAGGGGAAAAUAGAUUGUAGACGUACAGAAGCACAGACAGCUUCUGGCCCGGGACUGAGAGUGUUAAUGAAACAUGUAGUUUUGUAUAUGUGCUGAUAAGAGGCGUGUACUAUGAAUCCAGAUCAACAUGCUCUGGAUUUAUUUCAGUUACCUGGCUUCACCUAUCCUAACAAUCGCAGUCCUGCCUAAGCUGUGUCACGAUGGUGGUUAUCAACUAGUUCAGUCAACCCAGGGUUUCUAGUACUACUAGAGCCGCAUAUUUUACACAACAAGAGCAGACAAUAAUCUUACAAAAAUAUGAGGAAUACAAACAUAAUCCAGGCAAAAAGACAACACAGUCGCUGCUGCCAAACCAAGGAGGGAAAGCUGGCAGAAAAUAGCAGACGCUGUAAAUGCAUAAGUUACAUAACUUAUAGAUAUCACUGCCGCAGGCACAAGAUCUGACUAUAAUGACACUUUUGCGUUCCAUAAUGUUGAAAUUUUUUGUUGCUCUAUUAUUUCAGUUGCAACCCUGGCAGUGGCAAAAUAUCCUGGGAGCAAAUAAAAAAACUAUAAAAACAUAAUUCAUAAGUAGCAGUACAGUAGGCAAUACUUUAACAUAUUUUAAGGCCAACAAGUACGAGGCUGAAUUGCCUGAGUCAGUCUCUUUUUGUAGGAUAUUGGUAUACAAAGGGACUAUAGAACAAUGAAAUAGCUUGCAGCCAACAGGAAGAAAAAUGAGGCAGAAGACUGGGGGGGGGGGGCCCUCCUCUACAGCACUUCACUCCUGCUGAGGAGCUGGCCCUCUCCACCAAUCAGGGUCGGCCCCUGAUGGAAGGAGUGGAAGGGGGCAUUUCCUCAGACCCUGGUGGCAGCAGCUCGGAAACCCAGGCAUAUGUACAGGGUAUGUUUCAAGUAAUCCAUGUGACCAUGUUCAUUCAACAAUUAUUUAUGAAUAUUGUAGGAGUGAAAUGUAUUACUGUUGUCUGCAGUGACAGGAUAUACAGUGGUGUUGCUGCCACCACCCACUGUCGUCCCACUGUGCCAUACAGAGGUAACAGUGAAACUAAUAGUCCUACACCAGUAUGUUGGCCAUAUAUGGUUGCUGAACAUGGAUCAAUUAGGCCAUUUACUUUCUCAGGUGGGGGUCCUAGAUGAUCACACUGUGUCUGCCUGCUCAGAGAGAGCUUUGGGGGUACACUUUUGAGUUGUUUUUUACGACUUGCAACACAGAUGGUGAGAGUGUGUGAACGUGUGGCUGUGAUUGUAGGGUCUGUAAUGACUGACUAAUGGUGGUGGUCUGAACAUGAGACACAAGUCCUUAACGUGCUCUUUUCAAAUAUGACUCAAUUGAUUAAAUUGAUAUGAUGUUAAACUCAGCAGGAAGAGGAACUUCUUCCUCCCCCUGAGCCUGGGGCCUCCACUUCAAGGCUAAGACAAAGACACGUGGUUGGAGCAGACAAUGUGAGGGCCCUGUAUAAGAGAACCCUGGAGCUGGAUAUAGAAUAUAAGAGGCUUUUAAUAAAGAAAACUAGGCUGGAGAUCGAAAAGCUUGAAUUUGAAAAGAAGGAAAGAGAGAACACAUGGUGCAUUUUUUUCAACAUUUUUUCAACUUUGUGGUCUUUUUCUAUGUUUUUGUGGCUUGUCUCGAAGAUCUGUUUGUUGUGCCUUUUGAAACUUUGUGGGAGUUUUCAACAUUAUUUUCUUUUUUUCAGUUUCCUAUUUUUGUUAUAAAACUGCUAUAGAAGUGAAUAAAACAUUCAAUGAAA